rnacentral:rRNA from 1 species
GAUGAACGCUGGCGGCGUGCCUAAUACAUGCAAGUCGAGCGAACGGACGCGAAGCUUGCUUCUCUGAUGUUAGCGGCGGACGGGUGAGUAACACGUGGAUAACCUACCUAUAAGACUGGGAUAACUUCGGGAAACCGGAGCUAAUACCGGAUAAUAUUUUGAACCGCAUGGUUCAAAAGUGAAAGACGGUCUUGCUGUCACUUAUAGAUGGAUCCGCGCUGCAUUAGCUAGUUGGUAAGGUAACGGCUUACCAAGGCAACGAUGCAUAGCCGACCUGAGAGGGUGAUCGGCCACACUGGAACUGAGACACGGUCCAGACUCCUACGGGAGGCAGCAGUAGGGAAUCUUCCGCAAUGGGCGAAAACCUGACGGAGCAACGCCGCGUGAGUGAUGAAGGUCUUCGGAUCGUAAAACUCUGUUAUUAGGGAAGAACAUAUGUGUAAGUAACUGUGCACAUCUUGACGGUACCUAAUCAGAAAGCCACGGCUAACUACGUG